AAGACUUAAAUUUACCCUCAGUUUUGCUUUGCAUUUCUCAUCAGCUGUAGUAGGUAUACAUUUUUAGUAAAGAUAAUCAACAUCACAACUUUCAAGCCUUUCGUAAUGAUUAUUAUGUUAUGGAUAUGAACAUAUGUGUACUAUAUUUAUUUGAAACCCAUUUACAUUGUACUGAGAUAGUGAAUGAUUGCAUUUUUCUUUUUUUUUAAACGCUGUGAAAACACAUUUAUUUAUUCAUAUAACAUCAAUAGGUUUAAGUUUCAAAUUAAGUUGACCAUUAGGCAACCAUUUAUGAAAUAUUUGGACAGAUCUUUCAUGAUAAAAAAAUCUAGCAUUCUCAGGUUUUUAAGUAAUGUGUUAACAACAGCCUGCAUAUUAUGUUUCAAGAAUGUAGCAGAACUUCUCCAUCAAGUUAUCACUGAUUAUUGUUUUUUAUGAUGUACUUUGAUCAUUUGCAAACCACAUGUAGAAAUUGUUUGAAAAAUUUUGCACCAGUUUAUUAAAAAUGUCUUCUCUAAACAAAA